CGUGAGUAACCUGCCCUUAACUCUGGGAUAAGCCUUGGAAACGGGGUCUAAUACUGGAUAUUGACAUGAUCCCGCAUGGGGUGGUGUUGAAAGAUUUAUUGGUUUUGGAUGGACUCGCGGCCUAUCAGCUUGUUGGUGAGGUAAUGGCUCACCAAGGCGACGACGGGUAGCCGGCCUGAGAGGGUGACCGGCCACACUGGGACUGAGACACGGCCCAGACUCCUACGGGAGGCAGCAGUGGGGAAUAUUGCACAAUGGGCGAAAGCCUGAUGCAGCGACGCCGCGUGAGGGAUGACGGCCUUCGGGUUGUAAACCUCUUUCAGUAGGGAACAAGGCCAGUCGUUGAUUGGUUGAGGGUACUUGCAGAAGAAGCGCCGGCUAACUACGUGCCAGCAGCCGCGGUAAUACGUAGGGCGCAAGCGUUAUCCGGAAUUAUUGGGCGUAAAGAGCUCGUAGGCGGUUUGUCGCGUCUGCCGUGAAAGUCCGGGGCUCAACCCCGGAUCUGCGGUGGGUACGGGCAGACUAGAGUGAUGUAGGGGAGACUGGAAUUCCUGGUGUAGCGGUGAAAUGCGCAGAUAUCAGGAGGAACACCGAUGGCGAAGGCAGGUCUCUGGGCAUUAACUGACGCUGAGGAGCGAAAGCAUGGGGAGCGAACAGGAUUAGAUACCCUGGUAGUCCAUGCCGUAAACGUUGGGCACUAGGUGUGGGGGGACAUUCCACGUUUUCCGCGCCGUAGCUAACGCAUUAAGUGCCCCGCCUGGGGAGU
rnacentral:rRNA from 1 species